rnacentral:rRNA from 1 species
AUUGAACGCCGGCGGCAUGCCUUACACAUGCAAGUCGAACGGUAACAGGUCUUCGGAUGCUGACGAGUGGCGAACGGGUGAGUAAUACAUCGGAACGUGCCUAGUAGUGGGGGAUAACUACUCGAAAGAGUGGCUAAUACCGCAUGAGAUCUACGGAUGAAAGCAGGGGAUCGCAAGACCUUGUGCUACUAGAGCGGCCGAUGGCAGAUUAGGUAGUUGGUGGGAUAAAAGCUUACCAAGCCGACGAUCUGUAGCUGGUCUGAGAGGACGAUCAGCCACACUGGGACUGAGACACGGCCCAGACCCCUACGGGAGGCAGCAGUGGGGAAUUUUGGACAAUGGGCGAAAGCCUGAUCCAGCAAUGCCGCGUGCAGGAUGAAGGCCUUCGGGUUGUAAACUGCUUUUGUACGGAACGAAAAGCCCUGGGUUAAUACCCUGGGGUCAUGACGGUACCGUAAGAAUAAGCACCGGCUAACUACGUGCCAGCCGCCGCCGUAA